CCAGAUAAAGAGAUGCAAAUGUAUUGGUAACAUUUUUGAUUGAAUAUAAAAUCUUUAUAGAAAUGCAUAUCUCAUGGAACGUUAAAGCUAUUGUUUAAAAGUUGGUGGAAAUAGUUUUUUUCAAUUAUAUUUAACAGGUCUAUUUAAAUAGUCCUUGCUGGAAAUCCUUUGGUAACAGCAAAACUAAUUUUCCCAUUUUCUAAGCUCAUUCAGAGGCUUUGGCCCUUUUACGCCAACCAAACUACUGUUGGCUAUGUAUAAUAACACUUAUUGAUACUCAUCCUUGGCUUCAUUGUUGAACAUACUCUUGCAACAAAUCUUAAACUCUUGUAGCGCCAGAGUGAUUUUCAUCUGUGCCAUAUGUUGCAAUUAAAAGCAAUACGUUCUUGGAAGUAAAAAUUAAAUAAGAACUAUCUCAACUCCAGGAGCAUGUGUUAAGUUGCUCAUGGUAGAUCCUUUCCUCCAAAAUGAUCAUUAAACUCUAAAAAGUUAAGUCCCUAUCAUUGAGUUAUUAUAUCCUUUACAACCCAUAAAACUAAUAUGGAUGGUAGCCUUUGUUACACUCAUCAAAUAAUACUUUUCUUACAGAAUUCUUUGUGUUUUGUCCUCCCAUUUACCAUUAUAAUAUUCAUUUCCUUGUACCCAAAAGGAAAAAAAAUCCAGCAUUCUGAGUGUCUAUGUUGACUUUGAUAGUCCCUAUUUGGUGAUUUAGAAAAGGUUUUGUUUUUUGUUUUUUGUUUUUUUAAUAUAAUGGCUGGAAAAUUGCAUCUUGGUACUUGUUUCUGUAAAUCAUUUAGUAUAAUUUUUUAGCUUUGCUGGUACUUUAUGCUUUGAUUCCAAGAAGCCUUGUACAAGUUGCCUUAUCCAAUGGCCAGCUAAAUUAAAGAUGUUGUUUUCUGUUUUGUGAAUCUUAUAGUUUUACUGUACAGAGCUCUUUUUAACUUCCAAAAAUCAGCACAUUCCACAGAAUGCCUAAAGUGCAUAAUUUUCCUUACAUGGUAGUUGAGGGAGAAAUAGUAUGGCUGUAGGUUCAGUCCUCACCUAUACACCUGGCUCAGUUCCAGAGCCCCUUAUAUUUUUUUUUCUUUAAAUAAAAUCACCAGGUACAUACAUUCCAAAUGUGUAAUCUGUCUUUUGCAUUUUCUCUUAACUCUUUCAAACGAUUUUAAUGGCAACCUAUAGAUUUUUCCUUCUUCUUCAGUUCCAUAUCAUACUUAUUAGGUAUGCGUAUUGGUACCAUAAGUCUAAACUGUUCCUCACUGCAGGGUCUUUGGGUCAGUUGCAAUAUUAGAAAGAAAAUUCAAAAUUUGGUAUAUGAUAAUGAUUAUUCAUUAUGUUAGCAUUGCCCCAAACCACAUAUCCUUCCCCAAAAAAUACUGAAUGUAUUUUUUGAAAACUCAUGCAUCCUAGUAUUAAGUAAUUGUUACCUUUAAUUUCACUUAUUUUGAAAAUUGGUACUCUUCUCUUGAAUUUCUUUUAGAAAAACAUCAACCAGCCCAGAUAGCUAGGAAAUUUCCAAGUAUUCUAGAGUGUUCUUCAUCUUUUCCUAGGAUAUGCUGUAUAAAACAUUCCUCCAAAAAUCCAAGACUUGUAGCAUUCUAAAAAGUGAUGAUUUCUCUUCUCAUUAAAUUCUGCUGAAUAAGUUAAGGGAAUGCAUUUCAAUUUGGUAAUUUAGUUCAUUAGCUUUUAUAUCUUGAGAUUCUUGUUUAACACUUUCUUUAAAGCUGAAAAAAACCCAGCUGAAUUUUGCAGUGCAUAUGUUUGCUAUCUUCACAUCCUGAGCCAUGGUGCAAUUUGAUUAUAUUUAGUUACAUAUAAUUUAAUGCAAAGAAAUUCUCAGUUCCCUAAUGCUCUGUGUAUGAGUGCCUAAUAGAAACACUAAUAGGAAUGUCAUAUAGGCCUCUGGCCUCUCUUUCCAUACAACCACUCUCUGUCUCUUUCUCUUUACCUUUCCAGCUAUUAAAUUCAUAAUUUCUUCAUUGGCUUUUCUUAAAUUUCCAAAGUACAAAAGCAAUCUUUGUACUGAUGUUGGGAUAAUGAAGACUUGUUUCUUUUUUUUUCAAAAUUUCAUUCUUUUAUACCGUGUUUUAAGAUUUUUCUCAACCCCCUACUCCAUUUUUAAAAAAUAUUUUCCAAUUAAUAACUAGUGGCUUUAUUUCCCAGUGAAAGUGAGAAAAACAAGAGAAUGCACAGUUCAGGGCAUGAGAUGAGAGAUCCUUAAAGGAGCUGAUCAGUUACUGAGGAGGAAGCCCGCACUAACGUAAGGGAUUGAGUUUUCUUUACCUGCAAUCAGCCCGCUAACUAUUCUAAGGCGGUUGUCUGAUUUCAGGAUCCUUUGAAGGGAAAAGGAGCUUUUAAAAAAUUAAAUACCUUAUUUGUUUUCUCUCUCUGGGAAUGAACACUUUUAAUUACUUAGCAAGAGGAUUCAGUUGUAUAACUUACUCUUUAAAAAAGAGCCACUCUUAAAUAGCUCUGAUUUUCUUGCUUCAAUUACAAAUAGAUGAGAGAAUGGACAAACGCUGUUGUUUGAUGUGAACACUUCGAUUUGUACGUGUGUGUGACUGAUAGAAUUUUACGAAGAGGAUCAUUGCCUCUUUUGUACAGCCAGGUACCAUGUGACUAAAUACACACAUGGCAAUCAACUACAGAAGGCCAAACGAGUUCAGUGGCCUGUGUGUCCUACAACCAGAUAUAAAACUGUCUUUCCCUCUGGUUGCCAUGCUCAUGUCACACUGAACUCGAAUUGCUCUAGAACAUCCUUCCUCUCUUACAGUGACUUCCAUGUAACACAGGUAAAGCCCUUUAUCUUAGGAAUUUCCUUAUCUUUCCAAAGUUUUCAAAAUGAAUCCUUCUAUUUGAGAGGAUGUUCAUGAGUUUGUAAUGAGGAAAGUGGAUGUUUACAAGUGGCUUAGUGACUACAGUCAGCUGUCAGAUGUUACCUUCCUGGCUUCCAUCUAAAAGGCUACAUGUCAAGCAUAUCCCCAAAUGAAUUUGUUACCUGUUACAAAAACAUCUUCAUCAACAUGUCUCAUUCUCCCCACCUCAAUCCUUGGUUUAUCAUAGUAGUAUUCUGAAAACUUUAAAAAAAAAAAUCAUUGAGUAGAAAAUAAACAUUUUAAGUUACUUUCCUUUUUCACUGGCAAUAAGUUAACACGUAAAAUUUUUUCCAUUAAAAUGUAACUUUUAAUAACUAUAUAUUAUAUAUGGAAUAAAAUAUAGGAGACUUAAUUAUAAGUAUAUAAAUGCAUCAAGACUCUGGUGUCAUGAAAGCACAAGAAUAAAGCUGGAGAUGGUCCCAGAAUCCAAGAUGACCCAAUAGCAUUUUGCAUCAAUUUCUCCCAUUUUUGGUAUUUUGCAUAAUGUAUGGAUCCUCAGUUCAAAUGAAGGAAAAUGUCUUAAUCAGCAUCAUUCCUACCUUUCCCUUGCUUAGGAGGUAGUAGGAAGUCUGUACUGUUUAUUUUUAUGAAUUCUAUGAUUUUGUCCAUGACCUCUCUAAUGAAAACAGGUUCUAGAAUAAAGGAGUUGAUUGGCCCAAAUAGUGCUAACUGAAGAGAGAAACAUGAGGGAGCAGCCUCUGUAAACACUGACCAAUUAGAUGUUUCCAUAAUUCCAUGUAUUAUGUAUAGUACAUGCUAUUGGUGUAAAUGUAAUGCUUGUU
rnacentral:lncRNA from 1 species